GCGCCUGCCUGAAUCGCAGCCUGAUCCAGCCUGCCGCGUGAGUGAUGAGGCCUUAGGGUUGUAAAGCUCUUUUACCCGGGAAGAAAAUGACGGUACCGGGAGAAUAAGCCCCGGCUAACUCCGUGCCAGCAGCCGCGGUAAUAGCCAGCAUC
rnacentral:rRNA from 1 species